rnacentral:rRNA from 1 species
GACGAACGCUGGCGGCGUGUCUAACACAUGCAAGUCGAACGGAACUGUUUUGAAAGCUUUCUUCGGAAUGAAUUUGAUUUAGUUUAGUGGCGGACGGGUGAGUAACGCGUGAGUAACCUGCCUUCAAGAGGGGAAUAACAUUCUGAAAAGAAUGCUAAUACCGCAUGACAUAUCGGAACCACAUGGUUUUGAUAUCAAAGAUUUUAUCGCUUGAAGAUGGACUCGCGUCCGAUUAGUUAGUUGGUGAGGUAACGGCUCACCAAGACCGCGAUCGGUAGCCGGACUGAGAGGUUGAACGGCCACAUUGGGACUGAGACACGGCCCAGACUCCUACGGGAGGCAGCAGUGGGGGAUAUUGCGCAAUGGGGGCAACCCUGACGCAGCAACGCCGCGUGAAGGAUGAAGGUUUUCGGAUUGUAAACUUCUUUUAUUAAGGACGAAAAAUGACGGUACUUAAUGAAUAAGCUCCGGCUAACUACGUG